AGUGCUCUCCAUAUGGCGUGUGUAUAUGUAAUGACAGAUCAUGUAACACUUAGAUUGCACACAGGUGGACAUAAUUUAACUAAUUAUGUGAUUUUUAAAGAAAAUUAGUUGCACCAGAGCUUUUUAUGGGCUUCCUAACAAAGGGGGUGAAUACAUACGCACAUGCCAAUUUUCUGUUUUCUAUUUCUAAACAAUAGUUUUAUUUAUAUAUAUUUCUCAUUUCAC